UACAUAUGAGCAUCUGCAGUGGGCCGACU
rnacentral:piRNA from 1 species